rnacentral:rRNA from 1 species
GCGUGGGGGAUGAAGGUCCUAGGAUUGUAAACCCCUGUUGGGAGGGACGAAGGCUUUCGGGUGAAUAGCCCGGAAGCUUGACGGUACCUCCAGAGGAAGCCCCGGCUAACUCUGUGCCAGCAGCCGCGGUAAUACAGAGGGGGCGAGCGUUAUUCGGAAUUAUUGGGCGUAAAGGGCGCGUAGGCGGCUAGGCAAGUCUUGGGUGAAAUCCCUCGGCUCAACCGAGGAACUGCCCCGGAAACUGCCUGGCUUGAGGCCGGGAGAGGAUGGUGGAAUUCCCAGUGUAGCGGUGAAAUGCGU